rnacentral:rRNA from 1 species
CCUGUGCACCUUUUGUAGACCUGGAAAGUUUCUUAAUGCCUAGCAUUAAGGUUUUGGGAUUGAUUUUGUCUCUCCUUAUAUUUCCGGGUCUAUGUUUAUUCAUAUACUCUAAUGUAUGUUAUAGAAUGUAAUAAGUGGGCCUUUGUGCCUAUAACACUAUACAACUUUCAGCAACGGAUCUCUUGGCUCUCGCAUCGAUGAAGAACGCAGCGAAAUGCGAUAAGUAAUGUGAAUUGCAGAAUUCAGUGAAUCAUCGAAUCUUUGAACGCACCUUGCGCUCCUUGGUAUUCCGAGGAGCAUGCCUGUUUGAGUGUCAUUAAUAUAUCAACCUCUUCAGCUUUUGCUUGUUUGAGUGUUGGAUGUGGGGGUCUUUUUGCUGGUCUUUUCAAGAGGUCAGCUCCCCUAAAAUGUAUUAGCGGAACAAUCUGUUGACCGUUCAUUGGUGUGAUAAUUAUCUACGCUAUUGACGUGAAGCAGUUCAGCUUCUAACAGUCCAUUGAGUGG